GGAGAGGUCCCACCUCUCACUGAGAUGCACACAGGGCCUAUUAGGAGCUUUUCUGUGGAUUCUUUUGAAUAUUCUAUGAAUCCAAUCAUAUUGUCUGCAAUUCAAGACAUUUUUUCAAUAUUGAAAAUUUACUUUGCAGGCACCCGAGACAUGAACAUAGGAGGGUAAAGGAAAAGGUUUCCUCCCCAAGAGAAGGCAAUGAGGAUCAGUCAUCUCUGUGUCCCCUCUGUGCCAAGGUCAUGGUGGAUACCCAAUACAGUUUUGGUGAGAUGAAAUCAGGCUAAGUGAACUGAAUUGAAAUAUAUACUAAAUUGGUGACCAAGCAUUCAGAAGCCUGUGAGAAGAAAGAAUGCAACCUGAUUAAGAAGGAAUUGAAGCCAGUGAUUUAAAAACAAAAAAAAAAGACUUUACACCAGAUCUAUGAGAGCUUCCUAAGGGCUGAGUCUGAAAUAAACAUGAAUUAAAAAGAGUCAUAGCAUAACA